rnacentral:hammerhead_ribozyme from 1 species
AUCCAGCUGACGAGUCCCGAAAAGGAUGAGACUCACGUCCUGGAU